ACUGCUCAGUAACACGUGGAUAACCUGCCCUUGGGUCCGGCAUAACCCCGGGAAACUGGGGAUAAUUCCGGAUAACGCACAUAUGCUGGAAUGCUUUAUGCGUAAAAUGGAUUCGUCUGCCCAAGGAUGGGUCUGCGGCCUAUCAGGUAGUAGUGGGUGUAAUGUACCUACUAGCCAACAACGGGUACGGGUUGUGAGAGCAAGAGCCCGGAGAUGGAUUCUGAGACAUGAAUCCAGGCCCUACGGGGCGCAGCAGGCGCGAAAACUUUACAAUGCGGGAAACCGUGAUAAGGGGACACCGAGUGCCAGCAUCAUAUGCUGGCUGUCCAGGUGUGUAAAAUACACCUGUUAGCAAGGGCCGGGCAAGACCGGUGCCAGCCGCCGCGGUAACACCGGCGGCCCGAGUGGUGAUCGUGAUUAUUGGGUCUAAAGGGUCCGUAGCCGGUUUGGUCAGUCCUCCGGGAAAUCUGACGGCUUAACCGUUAGGCUUUCGGGGGAUACUGCCAGGCUUGGAACCGGGAGAGGUAAGAGGUACUACGGGGGUAGGAGUGAAAUCUUGUAAUCCCUGUGAGACCACCUGUGGCGAAGGCGUCUUACCAGAACGGGUUCGACGGUGAGGGACGAAAGCUGGGGGCACGAACCGGAUUAGAUACCCGGGUAGUCCCAGCCGUAAACGAUGCUCGCUAGGUGUCAGGCAUGGCGCGACCGUGUCUGGUGCCGCAGGGAAGCCGUGAAGCGAGCCACCUGGGAAGUACGGCCGCAAGGCUGAAACUUAAAGGAAUUGGCGGGGGAGCAC
rnacentral:rRNA from 1 species